GCUAGACAUAGCAGUAAUGCAGUUAACACAUUAAGUGUGCCGCCUGGGGAGUACGGUCGCAAGAUUAAAACUCAAAGGAAUAGACGGGGACCCGCACAAGCGGUGGAGCAUGUGGUUUAAUUCGACGAUACGCGAAGAACCUUACCUGGCCUUGACAUACCAAAAAGAUUUCAGAGAUGAGAUUGUGCUAGUUUACUAGAAUUUGGAUACAGGUGCUGCACGGCUGUCGUCAGCUCGUGUCGUGAGAUGUUGGGUUAAGUCCCGCAACGAGCGCAACCCACGUCCUUAGUUGCUAACAGUUCGGCUGAGAACUCUAAGGAGACUGCCUGGGUAACCAGGAGGAAGGUGUGGACGACGUCAAGUCAUCAUGGCCCUUACGGCCAGGGCUACACACGUGCUACAAUGGGGUAUACAAAGAGCCGCAAUACCGCGAGGUGGAGCAAAUCUCUUAAAAUAUCUCCCAGUUCGGAUAGCACUCUGCAACUCGAGUGCUUGAAGUUGGAAUCGCUAGUAAUCGUAGAUCAGCAAUGCUACGGUGAAUACGUUCCCGGGUCUUGUACUCACCGCCCGUCACACCAUGGGAGUUGAAUUCAUUCGAAGCGGGGAUGCUAAAAUAGCUACCUUCCACAGUGGAUUUAGCGACUGGGGUGAAGUCGUAACAAGGUAGCCG
rnacentral:rRNA from 1 species